rnacentral:rRNA from 1 species
UACAGAGGUCUCAAGCGUUUGUUCGGAUUCAUUGGGCGUAAAGGGUGCGUAGGCGGCGCGGUAAGUCGGGUGUGAAAUCUUGGAGCUUAACUCCGAAACUGCAUUCGAUACUGCCGUGCUUGAGGACUGGAGAGGAGACUGGAAUUUACGGUGUAGCGGUGAAAUGCGUAGAUAUCGUAAGGAAGACCAGUGGCGAAGGCGGGUCUCUGGACAGUUCCUGACACUGAGACACGAAGGCCAGGGGGAGCAAACGGG